AUUGAACGCUGGCGGCAGGCCUAACACAUGCAAGUCGAACGGUAGCACAGAGAGCUUGCUCUCGGGUGACGAGUGGCGGACGGGUGAGUAACGUCUGGGAAACUGCCCGAUGGAGGGGGAUAACUACUGGAAACGGUAGCUAAUACCGCAUAACGUCGCAAGACCAAAGUGGGGGACCUUCGGGCCUCACACCAUCGGAUGUGCCCAGAUGGGAUUAGCUAGUAGGUGGGGUAAUGGCUCACCUAGGCGACGAUCCCUAGCUGGUCUGAGAGGAUGACCAGCCACACUGGAACUGAGACACGGUCCAGACUCCUACGGGAGGCAGCAGUGGGGAAUAUUGCACAAUGGGCGCAAGCCUGAUGCAGCCAUGCCGCGUGUAUGAAGAAGGCCUUCGGGUUGUAAAGUACUUUCAGCGGGGAGGAAGGCGGUGAAGUUAAUAACUUCACCGAUUGACGUUACCCGCAGAAGAAGCCACGGCUAACUCUGUGCCAGCAGCCGCAGUAA
rnacentral:rRNA from 1 species